CUUCUGCUUGGUGACACUAGGAGGCGCACAAAUGACACGCUUUAAGUUAGUAGCAUCACUUCUUUUAGUUAGCUAGUCCUCAAAAUUAGUACCCAAACAAAACUAUAACAUCAUGUAAGUACUUUCUGAGAGUUGCUUUUCAGAUGUGGAUAUACAUGAAGGAACAGAAGUAAAUGACUGUAAAUGCAAGAUCCACAACAGUAUUUAUCUGACAGUUCGCAUGAAAACAAAGCAAACAAGCAACCGGAGGUCAGUAAUGAACUAAAAUUAACCCACAGAACAAAGGGUUAACCGUAACCCACAGUCAAACCAACACAAACAGCCUGAUUCCUGCUCAUCAGUCCUGUAAAUCCCAGAAGGUGUGAAGCCAAACAAAUGAAGGGCUUAUUGCUUGGCACACUUUGACCUGGAAAACAUUAUCCCGUUUGUGUCUCCAGAAUCCUGCCGUUCUCAAUGUUCCUUUCAGAAACGCGUCUCUGGUCCAGAUUUCACUGGAGAGAAUGAGACAAAUGAAAAACUUCACUUCCAAUUUUCUUCAGAGCUGAAUAAGACUGAACCCGGAUCUGUGAGAGACGACACAUGCUUCUGGUGUGUUCGACAAUAUUGCCAUCUGGGAUUAUUUUCAUUUUAUAAAUGGAAGAAAUUAAACAGAGAAUUACAUUAUCAUAAGAUGAAUUAAACCUCAGUGACCACCAUUGCAUCACUUUGCAUGGAUCAUUUUUCAUGCAUUGCAUGUAAAGAUAUACUGUGCAACCUUUCAGAAUUCCCCAUGAGCUCAUUAACAUAUGACCGCUGCAGAAGCAAAAUUUCUUCAGAUAUUAAGUCUUGUUUUCUGAAAGUUUCUGCUUAAAACAAGAUCCUGCCAAUUGCCAAAAUAAACUCGUUUUCCCUUUAAAUGAUACACUUUUCGGAAAACAUAACAUAAUAUCUUCAGUCAUUUUGCUUCACAAGUAAAUAUAUCUUGAUUUAAAAUUUUUUAGAUAUUUAUACUGGAAAAUACUCAGUAAAAAAUGUUGCCAUGCAGAAACUAGUAGUACAAAUACUAUUAUUGUACAGUUGGGAUGUAGAUGUGGGAGAAGUUCAUUUAAUGAUGUAGGACGUGGUCCCUUGAAAAUACAAACAAAAGGAUCAAAUAUUCCUUCAGGAACAUAAAUAAUAGUGGAUUAUAAAUAGUCAUUCAUAAAACAAUAUGAAGUACUUCCUGCAGAAGCCCGUUGGCACCUCAGAUUUGACAGCUCAUUCAUUCUUUGAUUGUGUUCCAUGUAUUUAUGAAACUGGAGUCACGGUCGGGUUCAGCAGUAAUGUUUUAAUAUCCAAACAUGUCCGGAUGCCAUCUCAUUCACCCUCUUCCAGAAUAUUCCGGGUUCUUUAAGGGUUCGGUGUCUGGUUUUGAGAGCUGUUUUUGGUGUUUAUAGUGGAUGUAUGAAGUUUACAGCAGAGGAACCACAGGUGUAGAGAAUCACAUCUAUCAACAUCAUCCACUAGCAGCUUCAUGACAUGUGGCUUGAACAGAUGUCGCAGACGGCAAAACAGAACACAUGCUUCAUCUGCGCUCGCGGUGUGAUGAACCGUGAUGAAAAACACAGUGUCCUCUCCCUAUUUAUCUCAGCAAACACACUGGAUUGACAUACAGCCCAUUUUUUCCAGCCCUUUCCUGUGUGACUGAAGAGUCUGGAGGUUCUGGAUCUGGUUCCGCCGCUCCGUGUUUGGUUUUGAUCUGGUUUCAGCGGUUCUGUCGCUCUGAACAGCUCCGAAUAUUCAUGUGAAUGAAAUCAUCAUCAAAGCCUCCUCAGAUGUGUUUUACGGCCGGUCGAUCCAUAGGGAAGCGCUCUAUAUUCAUCUGGGUUACGCUCCUCACUCACGCCUCUUGUUUAUUUUCUUUUAAGAUGCCACAAAACAUGAGAGAAUAUGAGUGUUCGAGGCUGUGUUUAAUAAUUGAGAAAAACUAAUCAGAGAUAUCUUUGAAGACUGAUUUUUCUAUUAUUCAUCCUUCAUUUAUUUUAACAGUCAGGAUGUGAUGAUUUACAGUCCUGCCCAACUAACAAAAAAGGGAACAUUCCAUUUUUAUCAUUCUUCAAACAUUAUGGGAACAUUUCAGAGAACAUUUAAAAGUAAUAAGUGUAACAUUUAAAAACGAACGUUCUAUUAACGUUACUGGAAGAACUUUGAGAGGAUGAUGUUCUGAGAAGGUUCCCUGUUUGCUGGGUGAGAGGAAUGUGGUUUUCGUGGCUUGUUCACACAGUCUCUAAACAAUCUCUUGCACUGUUUCUAAUUUCAGAAUUUCACAAACAUCCCAUUUUUCUACGGCAUGUUUCUUGGUCAGCGUUCAGCAGGGAUUCGCACGGUCGACCAUCGUGAACCAAUCCGGGUUAGCAGGGAAUGUUCUCUGGAAUGACAAUUAAACGAAACAAAGACGAACCGGCGCAGUGAACCGGGACAAAUUAGAGGGUGUGUUUGAAAUGUACCGGACAUCUACAAAUACUCCUCAUGAAUGAGUUUGGAACUGCUGAAACUCCUUGACGUGAGGAAUUUCAACAUCCAACACUCGGCCCUGAAUUCAAGGCCGAGGAUGAACCGCAGACCCCCGAGACGCAAACCACACAGACACACAGAAAGAGACGGACGGGAGGGGAAGACAUGAUGUGAUGAAGUGAAAAACAGAACCGAUUAUCCUCUCAUUCCCAUCCAAAUGCACACACUCGGACAUCUGUCUGAUAUUAUUUACUGUUCAACAUAUUCAAGGUUCAAACCAAAACACAUUUAUAAUCCAGUGCUGGUGAAGCUACUUUCAAGCUUUAGCUUUGUUUCUUCAUUUUUUAAUGUUGCCUGUGUUGACCGAGGGAUCAGGACGUGACCACUGUGCUGAUGAACUGACCGUUUUCGUUUCAUAAACUAGUUCAACUUUAGUCAAGCUGCUCUUUUGUAAAAGUAGUGAGUGACACCACAAACCACUAACAAAUAGCAACUACUGAAG